CUUCUAUUUGGCGCGUAAUUUUAGUAGAAGGGGAAAUGUCGUUUCAGCCAAUUAGAAAGUCCUUAGGCAAUCCUGUAAUGCGUAGCAUUAUAGUUCUGUCGAAAAUCUUUGUAGUGUGACGUGUGCUGGCUUGUAUAAUAUUAACUACGCAAUUACUAUUGGUUAAUUGCAGGAUGCAGAAUGUAAAACACCAUGAUACGCCAUAUUGAUUACGUAACAGUCAACGUAUUUUUCAAAAAGAUUCGAGCAUUAUUUUUUAUUAUGACCAAGUGCAAUGUGGUCAAUAGAAUCGGUGUUUGUUGCGCAAUAGUAUUUUCAAUAUAUUUCAGUGCAUAAAAUCCCUUAUUUAAUUUAAUUAUAAUAAUCAUUCGCGAAAUUAGAGUCAGUGUUUGUUCCUCUAUAAUAAUUUCAGUAAUUUUAAUAAUUUCAUGUCAAUAAUUUUUUAUUUAUUUAUUUAUUUUUUUUAAUAUUCAUUUUUAUAUAUUAGAGUCAGUGUAUCAAGAAAAAGCAGUCAUCUGUCAUCGUAAGGUAAGUCUUUUAUUUAUUUUUCUAUAAUUUAUUUUAUUCUUUUAUUAUUUUAUUCUUUCUAUUGUUUGUAUUUUUCUUUUUCCUCAAUAUUAUGGAUUUUGUAG